AGAGUUUGAUCCUGGCUCAGGAUUAACGCUAGCGGCAGGCCUAAUACAUGCAAGUCGAACGGCAGCACGGGUAGCAAUACCUGGUGGCGAGUGGCGCACGGGUGCGUAACGCGUAUGCAACCUACCUUUAACUGGAGAAUAGCCCCGAGAAAUCGGGAUUAAUACUUCAUAACAUUAUGAUAUGGCAUCAUAUUAUAAUUAAAGCUCCGGCGGUUUUAGAUGGGCAUGCGUGACAUUAGUUUGUUGGUGAGGUAACGGCUCACCAAGACUACGAUGUCUAGGGGUUCUGAGAGGAUUUUCCCCCACACUGGUACUGAGACACGGUCCAGACUCCUACGGGAGGCAGCAGUGGGGAAUUUUGCGCAAUGGGGGAAACCCUGACGCAGCAACGCCGCGUGAGUGAUGAAGGCCCUUGGGUCGUAAAGCUCUGACAGAGGGAAAGAAGUGUAGAGUGGCUAAUAUCCACAUUACUUGACGGUACCCUCAAAGGAAGCACCGGCUAACUCCGUGCCAGCAGCCGCGGUAAUACGUAGGGUGCAAGCGUUAAUCGGAAUUACUGGGCGUAAAGCGUGCGCAGGCGGUUUUGUAAGUCUGACGUGAAAUCCCCGGGCUCAACCUGGGAAUUGCGUUGGAGACUGCAAGGCUAGAAUCUGGCAGAGGGGGGUAGAAUUCCACGUGUAGCAGUGAAAUGCGUAGAGAUGUGGAGGAACACCGAUGGCGAAGGCAGCCCCCUGGGUCAAGAUUGACGCUCAUGCACGAAAGCGUGGGGAGCAAACAGGAUUAGAUACCCUGGUAGUCC
rnacentral:rRNA from 1 species